AUUGAACGCUGGCGGCAUGCCUUACACAUGCAAGUCGAACGGCAGCACGGGAGCAAUCCUGGUGGCGAGUGGCGAACGGGUGAGUAAUGUAUCGGAACGUACCUUUCAGUGGGGGAUAACGUAGCGAAAGUUACGCUAAUACCGCAUAUUCUGUGAGCAGGAAAGCAGGGGAUCGCAAGACCUUGCGCUGAUUGAGCGGCCGAUAUCAGAUUAGCUAGUUGGUGAGGUAAAGGCUCACCAAGGCGACGAUCUGUAGCGGGUCUGAGAGGAUGAUCCGCCACACUGGAACUGAGACACGGUCCAGACUCCUACGGGAGGCAGCAGUGGGGAUUUUUGGACAAUGGGCGCAAGCCUGAUCCAGCCAUGCCGCGUGAGUGAAGAAGGCCUCGGUUGUAAG
rnacentral:rRNA from 1 species